rnacentral:rRNA from 1 species
UGCGCAGGCGGCCUGGUAAGUCAGGGGUGAAAUAUGACGGCUCAACCGUCAAACUGCCCCUGAAACUGUCAGGCUUGAGUCCGGGAGAGGAAGGUGGAAUUCCAGGUGUAGCGGUGAAAUGCGUAAAUAUCUGGAGGAACACCGGUGGCGAAGGCGGCCUUCUGGCCCGGAACUGACGCUCAGGCACGAAAGCAUGGGGAGCGAACG